rnacentral:rRNA from 1 species
UACGUAGGCAGCGAGCGUUGUUCGGAAUUACUGGGCGUAAAGAGUGUGUAGGCGGUGCUCCCAGUCUGUUGUGAAAUCUCCCGGCUUAACUGGGAGGGUGCAGCGGAAACUAGAGUGCUAGAGGGUGGGAGAGGUAAGGCGGAAUUCCUGGUGUAGCGGUGAAAUGCGUAGAGAUGUGGAGGAACACCAGUGGCGAAGGCGACUCUUUGGCCUGUAACUGACGCUGAGGCGCGAAAGCGUGGGGAGCAAACAGG